AAAAGUAAAACGUAUUCUAAUUUCUAUGCCUGGAAAUUAAAAUGAAAAAACCUUUUUAUAUUUAAUAUCUGAAUGUUUCAGAUAUAAUGUACGGCGCGUACAUAAAACUUCCAUGGAUUGUGGGCGGGAUGUUUUAACCCUCCACAUCCUUCUACUGAUAAAUAUUCAUAGAUCUGAAGUUAUAGCAAUUACGACGGAUCCUUGUACCUCUACUUUACGUCCUUGCGGCCUCUUUUAGCCUUUUAGAGGCGGAAGGACCGUGUAGUGUGUACAGCAGCUGGACUAGUUCUCAGCUUUAAAUAUAUAGACCCUGAAGUGCAAAGAAGAUUUCUCUGCAGCCCUUUUUUAGCGUAAUCGUUCCAUACUAUGCUUAACGGAUCGUGCUUAUCCUGAAUCCAACUCAGAUCGCUGGGUGUGAGCGAUCAAGAUCUCUAUAGGUUGUUGCACCUCAAAAUGAUCCUAUAGACGUCGAUUAUCAAGCAAGCAUGUAAACCUGUGAAUUUAGACCGUCUCUCUUGCAAAUGGAUAAUGUCCGUAAUUUAUCACCUGCUUAUGGAGGAUAAAUAAAUACUUAAACCUGGAUUUAUCUUCUAUCCUGAGUAAUAAAGAGGAACAAUUAUUCCACGG